rfam:Perkinsus marinus ATCC 50983 gcontig_1104296749282, whole genome shotgun sequence.
GGAUCUAUAGUGUAGUGGUUAGCACUCUGGACUUUGAAUUCAGCGACUCGGGUUUGAAUCCCGAUAGAGCCU